AAAAAACAUUCCCAGAUACAAAAAGGGCUUGAACUGUUACAAAGACGGUGAUACAACUCAUCAGCCCCAAAAAGUACAUUAACCUAGAACAAUCUUGCGCCAACAUAAUAUUGUUUGAAUCAAAACCAACACAUUGAUAAACUAUACAAGCUAAUAAAAGACCGAAGGAUCUCCAGACUUGUUGACCAUCAAGAAAACUCUGCAGUUGACGACCAUGAAAAACCUUCACUUUCGAUCAGCACCCAAAAAGGAAAAGUUAUCUAGUUCUGCGCCUGCCAGAAAAGUCAAAACAAUAGUCAAAAAAAAACUUACAAGAUAAAAACAAUAAAUCAAUCACUAAGGCAAAAAUAAUAAUCAGAGGCUACACUCACGUCACCAAAGAAGUUUGUGACAAGAGACUUGUCAGCUGUGUUGAAUGUGCUGAAAUAAAGUUCAUUUGCAAGCUUGAUCCUGAUGUUAUCUAUAUCGGCUU
rnacentral:lncRNA from 1 species